UUUCACAAUUUUCGUGUACAUAAAUUGCGAAACUUUUGAGAGGUUGUUAUUUGGUUUGGUAGCAUAAUUGUUGUUGUUGAUUUUAUUACUUAUUACUAAGCGAUUUACAACAGAAUUUACCUAUUUUUACAAUCAGAUUGUUGCAGGAUUGGGUCCGUAAGUUUGUCAAUUUUGGAAUAAGAAGACAACAACUUCCUUGGAUGCUGUGCACCCUUAAUGGGUUAACUUCUAGCAGAAUGAAUAACUGCGAAUAAAAAGAAACGACCCUUCUAUUUGUAUUUUUGUAUUGUGCCUCCCACAAUUGUGGAACACCUGAGUUUGCAUUUCUUUCAAAAAUCAAAUUAUUCGCUCUACAGCAUUGACGUUCUCGAUUACGAGAUUCCUACACACAAAAAAAUAUUACGGUAAUGACAAAAGCGACAAAAGUAACUUACUUUCGAAUUAAAAAGUUGUUAAAAUUUGCUACAUUAAAGUUUUUUUUUGUUUUGAAAAUGAAAACUUUUACUGCUACAGUUUUUGAAAAUCUCAUUGCUCACUGAUUUAAAAGUUUUUCCUUUUAAUUCGACUGUAAAAUUUCUUUCAUUUUGACGUUCUCGUGUAACCGUGUACGCCUAAGUCGCAAAUGUAAACAAACACUUUGGUGGGUCCGGUGGUGCUGGUGAGUCUAGGACGCAAAGCAAGCCGACCGCGGCAGCAGCCAGGGCUCGGACGCGGAAACCUUCGGGAGCCAAACAGCAGCAGCGGAACGCCUUCGAAGGAGGGUGGUGCAGAAGCGGGACGAUGUUGAGUGCUCGAAAAGGACAAAGCCAGCUUCCUGCAGGAACUACAGCUGUUCCACGGCCGGAAUGCGAUGAGAGGUAGGAAUGUGGAUUCGCACCGGUUGUAUUCGGUGGUGGUGGCCCGGGAUUGGUGAUUGAAGGUCAAUUCCCGCGAGGACUGGGGCGAGAUCAUCGAGGAGAUAGCACUGCCGAAGCGUUGCGUGAACAACGAGAUUGCGUUGAAGAAGAUAAACUUCCGGUUUUUGGACAAGUGGAGAAUGUGUGCAGUGGCUAGCCAACUUCACUUACUUUCCAUCUCUUUUAGCAACUUCCCGCCCACAAACACUCACCUCGCGACGGCGCAGCUUCAGCCGAAUGAACCUGGACAUUGAGCCAAAAAAAAAUCUGUGUCAUUCCCGAAAUAGGAUUACGUGCUCAAAAUCGAAUUCCGUUUCGAGGUUCCAGGAUCGGGAACUCCCCGUUCAGGCUUUUUACUUUCCAGCCGGAAAACGUCGACCACCCUUCCCGAAUCAACGGCCAACUCCUCCAAGACUAUCCUGAUUGAGGCCGGAAACGUGACCAUCGUGUUACACUGCUGUCGCGCGUCGAAACCUCCAUCCGGAACCGUCCUGGGGUAUUCGGAAGUGACCGGUGGCGUACCGUAUGAAUCGGUACAGCUUGGACUCGAAUAUUGGCCUACCUUGAGCCGAAGCUAGUGGAGAAGCGUUAAAUACAAUAAAAAAAAAUGUUUUUUUUUAA